rnacentral:rRNA from 1 species
AUUGAACGCUGGCGGAAUGCUUUACACAUGCAAGUCGAGCGGCAGCACGGGGGCAACCCUGGUGGCGAGCGGCGAACAGGUGAGUAAUACAUCGGAACAUGCCCAGUCGUGGGGGAUAACACUUCGAAAGAAGUGCUAAUACCGCAUACGUCCUGAGGGAGAAAGCGGGGGAUCUUCGGACCUCGCGCGAUUGGAGUGGCCGAUGUCAGAUUAGCUAGGUGGUGGGGUAAAGGCCUACCAAGGCAACGAUCUGUAGCUGGUCUGAGAGGAUGAUCAGCCACACUGGGACUGAGACACGGCCCAGACUCCUACGGGAGGCAGCAGUGGGGAAUUUUGGACAAUGGGGGCAACCCUGAUCCAGCCAUUCCGCGUGAGUGAAGAAGGCCUUCGGGUUGUAAAGCUCUUUCGGCAGGAACGAAACGGCGAGCUCUAACAUAGCUUGCUAAUGACGGUACCUGAAGAAGAAGCACCGGCUAACUACGUGCCAGCAGCCGCCGUAAAAC